rnacentral:lncRNA from 1 species
UCUCCCACGCGCAGCCGCCUCACGCAGCGCAUCGUCGCAUUCUCCCGCUCGACCUGACGGCUGACGCAGCGCCUCCGCCUCUCGUCGGCCGUCGUCCGCUGGCCGCCGUCCGUGAGGCCGCCUCCUGCCAGCCGCCGUCCGCCUCCCGCGGCCACGGGCCGCGAGGCCGCCUCCCGCCGGCCGCAGGCUGCCUCCCGUCGGCCUCCGUCCGCCCGUGAUUACUCCCGUCGGCCUCCGGCGUAAGGAGCCCCAGCCCCUGUUCAGG